AUUGAACGCUGGCGGCAUGCUUUACACAUGCAAGUCGAGCGGCAGCGCGGGGGCAACCCUGGCGGCGAGCGGCGAGCGGGUGAGUAAUGCAUCGGAACGUAUCCUCGAGUGGGGGAUAACCCAGCGAAAGUUGGGCUAAUACCGCAUGAGCUCUGAGGAGGAAAGCGGGGGACCUGCGAGGGCCUCGCGCUGGAGGAGCGGCCGAUGUCCGAUUAGCUAGUUGGUGGGGUAAAGGCUUACCAAGGCGACGAUCGGUAGCUGGUCUGAGAGGAUGAUCAGCCACACUGGGACUGAGACACGGCCCAGACUCCUACGGGAGGCAGCAGUGGGGAAUUUUGGACAAUGGGGGCAACCCUGAUCCAGCCAUGCCGCGUGAGUGAAGAAGGCCUUCGGGUUGUAAAGCUCUUUCGGACGGAACGAAAUGGGCGGGACUAAUACUCCUGUCUGAUGACGGUACCGUAAGAAGAAGCACCGGCUAACUACGUG
rnacentral:rRNA from 1 species